AGCUCCAAUAGCGUAUAUUUAAGUUGUUGCAGUUAAAAAGCUCGUAGUUGGAUUUCGGUUGAAAGCAGGCGGUCUGCCUUUGGUAUGCACUGCUUGGUUUCAACUUCCUGCGGAGGACGCGCUCUGGGCUUAACGGUCUGGACGCGGAGUCCGCGUGGUUACUUUGAAAAAAUUAGAGUGUUCAAAGCGGGCUUACGCUUGAAUAUUUCAGCAUGGAAUAACACUAUAGGACUCCUGUCCUAUUUCGUUGGUCUCGGGACGGGAGUAAUGAUUAAGAGGAACAGUUGGGGGCAUUCGUAUUUCAUUGUCAGAGGUGAAAUUCUUGGAUUUAUGAAAGACGAACUUCUGCGAAAGCAUUUGCCAAGGAUGUUUUCA
rnacentral:rRNA from 1 species